ACAAGAACUUUGCAGAGAGAGUUAACAGGGCGUGAAACCGUUAAUUGGCAAACGAAUCGGAGCCACGAAGUCGUUUCGUUGUUAGAAUCUGGGGCUGGGUUCAGCUUAAUAUUACCAAAUAUUAGGUGUAUUCCUGUGUCUGAUCUAACUUUGUAAGCGUACACUGCAACCAGUUAGACCAUUGGCUAUGGGCACAGUUACUAGCUUCUAAGGCCUUAAAAACCUUGUUGCUUGUAGCGAAGCGUUUGUUUAUCCAAAUUAGUAGUAGUGCUGUACGUCACUUGUGAUGUAUUGGUGUUGCUGGAUUUGUGAUAAGUGAACUAUGGCCAAAUACUGACUGGCAAAAUGAAAAUCGCCUCUAUGGGCGUUAGAAAAAAUGCUGCAUUUUAUGCAAGUGUCUACACAUUCAGCUGCAUGGUCUCUUAAGCUCAGCAUUUUUAAAUUCAGACCUGCUUGCUACCAAUGGGGCAACUCUUGGUGCUUGUAUGGUUUCUGUCUAAUUGGGUGUUGACUUGGCCAAGUACGUCUGCUUUGUGCUACGUUUGGGCUGCUUGCUAUAAAAAUGUUAGCAAUUUUAUUGGCAGUGAGUAGGUCGGCUUUCCGAACGACCCGUCUUGAAACACGGACCAAGGAGUCUAAUUAGGCAUCGAGUCGAUCGGUCUUGAAUAGGCCAGACUGGAAAUCUCGAUUUCCGAUUGAAGGCGUAGAGAAAUCAAAUUCAUGUGAUCGUGGCUAGUUAAAGCAACUGCCAUGCGCAACAUGUGCCUGUUCAUUUUGACAAUGUCCUUAAAAAACUUGUCGAGCGGAGUCAGGAGAUGUCUGAAUGGGACC
rnacentral:rRNA from 1 species